ACAGCCCACCUGCUCAAGGGCCCCAGACCCACCUUUGCCUUCAUCAUCCUGCACGGUGAAGCUGUCCUCAGACUGUGUGCAUUUCCUCUGUGUGAUCUAAUUGUCCAGGCUAUCCGAUUUCUGUCUUUAAAAAAAAAAAAUUAUUUGGGCCGUCCAGAGUCAGUAUGCCAAAGGAAUACAGCUAAAUGUGCUCCAUCCAUUCUUUCCCAGGUAAGAGUUGUAGUCUCUGUCUACCUUUUCUGUUGGAAUUAGCAUAACAAUCCACAGAGAUUUACUCACUGAAAGAAACACCCAGGGCUCUCUUUAAGCAGUGGUUAAUUACAUCCUGCUAUUUAUCCCAUUUAUCAGAGGUUAACUAAUUAGCACCAGCCAACUCCAUUUUUAAUCUAACGUGGUCCUCCUCCCCCUCCCCCCACAGACUCCCAGUUUCCUGAGUGGUCUGAGUCACAUAGUCCUGAACCAGGCUUCAGCCCCGGGCUCCCGUGUGCGUCUGUGUGCAUGUUUCUGCUGCGAGCUGCUGCCCAGAGGGGCCGGCGGGCCACGUCACAGCCUCUUGGGCUCAGUGCUGAAGGCCGAGCGCCUGACUCAUCCAGCCCUGAGCCUGCAGAGCAGCUGGCCCGCUGCCUGGGCCCGUCCCUGGGCCGCCUUUGAUGGCCUUUCCAGCCCCUCUUUACAGGCACCCCAGCCUCAGAGGGAGAGGAUCCCAAGCAAAGGAGGCAACACAGUGUUAUCCCUUGAAGCUAUAAGCACUUCUGUCUCCCAAACGGGCUGGGUGCUGCUCUAG
rnacentral:lncRNA from 1 species